CCUACGGGGGGCAGCAGUGGGGAAUAUUGGACAAUGGGCGCAAGCCUGAUCCAGCCAUGCCGCGUGUGUGAAGAAGGCCUUAGGGUUGUAAAGCACUUUCAGUGGGGAGAAAGGUGAUUCACCUAAUACGUGAGUUAAUUGAUGUUACCCACAGAAGAAGCACCGGCUAACUCCGUGCCAGCAGCCGCGGUAAUACGGAGGGUGCAAGCGUUAAUCGGAAUUACUGGGCGUAAAGCGCACGUAGGCGGUUUUGUAAGCCAGCCGUGAAAUCCCCGGGCUCAACCUGGGAAUUGCGGUUGGAACUGCAAGGCUAGAGUAUGGUAGAGGGGUGUGGAAUUCCAGGUGUAGCGGUGAAAUGCGUAGAUAUCUGGAGGAACAUCAGUGGCGAAGGCGACACCCU
rnacentral:rRNA from 1 species